rnacentral:tRNA from 1 species
UAGGAUGUAGCUCAGUGGUAGAGCAUUUGCUUAGCAUAUACAAGGCCGUGGGUUCAAUUCCCAGCAAUAUUAA